ACUGAACGCUGGCGGCAGGCUUAACACAUGCAAGUCGAGCGGGGUGAUGGUGCUUGCACUAUCACUUAGCGGCGGACGGGUGAGUAAUGCUUAGGAAUCUGCCUACUAGUGGGGGACAACAUCUCGAAAGGGAUGCUAAUACCGCAUACGUCCUACGGGAGAAAGCAGGGGAUCACUUGUGACCUUGCGCUAAUAGAUGAGCCUAAGUCGGAUUAGCUAGUUGGUGGGGUAAGGGCCUACCAAGGCGACGAUCUGUAGCGGGUCUGAGAGGAUGAUCCGCCACACUGGGACUGAGACACGGCCCAGACUCCUACGGGAGGCAGCAGUGGGGAAUAUUGGACAAUGGGGGGAACCCUGAUCCAGCCAUGCCGCGUGUGUGAAGAAGGCCUUAUGGUUGUAAAGCACUUUAAGCGAGGAGGAGGCUCUUUUGGUUAAUACCCAAGAUGAGUGGACGUUACUCGCAGAAUAAGCACCGGCUAGCUCUGUGCCAGCCGCCGCAGUAA
rnacentral:rRNA from 1 species